GUCCACGCCGUAAACGUUGGGCGCUAGGUGUGGGCUUCAUUCCACGAGGUCUGUGCCGCAGCUAACGCAUUAAGCGCCCCGCCUGGGGAGUACGGCCGCAAGGCUAAAACUCAAAGGAAUUGACGGGGGCCCGCACAAGCGGCGGAGCAUGUGGCUUAAUUCGAUGCAACGCGAAGAACCUUACCUGGGCUUGACAUGCAGGGAAAUCUCGUAGAGAUACGGGGUCCGUAAGGGCCUUGCACAGGUGGUGCAUGGCUGUCGU
rnacentral:rRNA from 1 species